rnacentral:rRNA from 1 species
GGCGGCAGGCCUAAUACAUGCAAGUCGAGCGCGCCCUUCGGGGUGAGCGGCGGACGGGUGAGUAACGCGUGGGAAUAUGCCCUUCUCUAAGGAAUAGCCUCUGGAAACGGAGAGUAAUACCUUAUACGCCCUUCGGGGGAAAGAUUUAUCGGAGAAGGAUUAGCCCGCGUUAGAUUAGGUAGUUGGUGGGGUAAUGGCCUACCAAGCCUACGAUCUAUAGCUGGUUUGAGAGGAUGAUCAGCCACACUGGGACUGAGACACGGCCCAGACUCCUACGGGAGGCAGCAGUAGGGAAUCUUAGACAAUGGGGGCAACCCUGAUCUAGCCAUGCCGCGUGUGUGAUGAAGGCCCUAGGGUCGUAAAGCACUUUCGCCAGAGAUGAUAAUGACAGUAUCUGGUAAAGAAACCCCGGCUAACUCCGUGCCAGCAGCCGCGGUAAUACGGAGGGGGUUAGCGUUGUUCGGAAUUACUGGGCGUAAAGCGCACGUAGGCGGAUUAGUAAGUUAGAGGUGAAAUCCCAGGGCUCAACCCUGGAACUGCCUUUAAUACUGCUAGUCUUGAGUUCGAGAGAGGUAAGUGGAAUUCUGAGUGUAGAGGUGAAAUUCGUAGAUAUUCGGAGGAACACCAGUGGCGAAGGCGGCUUACUGGCUCGAUACUGACGCUGAGGUGCGAAAGUGUGGGGAGCAAACAGGAUUAGAUACCCUGGUAGUCCACACCGU